rnacentral:hammerhead_ribozyme from 1 species
AUCCAGCUAACGAGUCCCAAAUAGGACGAAACACGUGUCUCGGAC